rnacentral:rRNA from 1 species
GAGAGUUUGAUCCUGGSUCAGGACGAACGCUGGCGGCGUGCUUAACACAUGCAAGUCGAACGGAAAGGCCCCUUCGGGGGUGCUCGAGUGGCGAACGGGUGAGUAACACGUGGGUGAUCUGCCCUGCACUUUGGGAUAAGCCUGGGAAACUGGGUCUAAUACCGAAUACACCUUGCUGGUCGCAUGGCCUGGUAGGGGAAAGCUUUUGCGGUGUGGGAUGGGCCCGCGGCCUAUCAGCUUGUUGGUGGGGUGAUGGCCUACCAAGGCGACGACGGGUAGCCGGCCUGAGAGGGUGACCGGCCACACUGGGACUGAGAUACGGCCCAGACUCCUACGGGAGGCAGCAGUGGGGAAUAUUGCACAAUGGGCGCAAGCCUGAUGCAGCGACGCCGCGUGAGGGAUGACGGCCUUCGGGUUGUAAACCUCUUUCAGCACAGACGAAGCGUAAGUGACGGUAUGUGCAGAAGAAGGACCGGCCAACUACGUGCCAGCAGCCGCGGUAAUACGUAGGGUCCGAGCGUUGUCCGGAAUUACUGGGCGUAAAGAGCUCGUAGGUGGUUUGUCGCGUUGUUCGUGAAAACUCACAGCUUAACUGUGGGCGUGCGGGCGAUACGGGCAGACUAGAGUACUGCAGGGGAGACUGGAAUUCCUGGUGUAGCGGUGGAAUGCGCAGAUAUCAGGAGGAACACCGGUGGCGAAGGCGGGUCUCUGGGCAGUAACUGACGCUGAGGAGCGAAAGCGUGGGGAGCGAACAGGAUUAGAUACCCUGGUAGUCCACGCCGUAAACGGUGGGUACUAGGUGUGGGUUUCUUUCCUAAGGAUCCGUGCCGUAGCUAACGCAUUAAGUACCCCGCCUGGGGAGUACGGCCGCAAGGCUAAAACUCAAAGGAAUUGACGGGGGCCCGCUCAAACGGCGGAGCAUGUGGAUUAAUUCGAUGCAACGCGAAGAACCUUACCUGGGUUUGACAUGCACAG